GUUGGUCUCACCAGAACAGCUCGCAGAGCGCAGCGUACUUAGCUCCGUGUUCCCGAAGGUUGCUCGGGCCAUGUCUGCACCAGCUCACCUCACCGUAUUCAGUAUGCAUGGUCAUUGUAUGGGCCUACAUUACUGUGUAACGCCGGGACUACUUACAUCCAGCUGAGUAUCUUGGGCAUUACAACAUGUGGUGCCAGAAAGGAACUCUGGAUUUGUACACGAUGAUUCCAUCCUCAUCUGUGUUUCCUGACACGUUUGGACAGGAGUCUGGCAGCCCAAGGUGAAGGAACAUUGAGUGAUCACGACUCCAGCUUUGUGCCAUUGCGCCCAGCUUUCAUCAAUCACAGCUUCAGACACUGGACCAAACAAGAUGCCAGAAAAAAAUCUGAGAAUUAUUUUUGGGGCAUAUCUUUACAAUUCUUCAGGUUGUCAUUUAUCAUAUUCUAGUCUGAGUGGGGGUGAGUUUGGACUCACAUAAAAAAAUAAAACAUAAAAAAAUGUAGAGUGGAGUUAUGGACAGGCAUACCCUGAAGACACAGCAAUGGAGGGAUAUAAAUGUGCUCCACCAGCCAGAUGUUGUGGUCUCUGACAAGGAAAUGUUGUGGGUUCAAAUUUCAGCCUCCUUAGCUUCACAGCUUAGCUCUUGUUCAUCUCCCUUGUUAAAAAUUUCUCCCUUGUUAAAAGAUUCAUGUGAGCAACUUGUACAAAUAAAUCUAACUAUCAGAGUCAAAGCACUUUGGUAUUCAAAAAUCUGUGGUUCAAAAAAUCUUUGGUCCUUACUUCUAACCAGUAAAUUUUGCUUCAACUGAA